GGAGUGUCCCUACUAGUUAUAAUGUGAUGUAAUCACAUCCUAAUGGCUUGCACACUGAACGCGGAAACCAAUGAACACAUUAGAAACUGUAAGCUUAUUGGCUACCGCAUUACAUUUGUCACGCAGAAGCCAUAAGAGUGUACUGCACGCGGUACAGAAUUAACUAGAUAAUUAUAGAAACCGCACAAACCGAUAUUGAAUGAAAAGCCCCUGCUAAUAGUCGUUUGUAUCACUAAUCGAGUCUCUCAAUUCAUUUGCGCAAAAGUUUAUGUUUCAUUAAAUAUGAUAUUGUACUAAAUUUUAACAAGGAAAUUUCAACUAAUAAGGAAUAUAGAAUGUAUUUGGUUUCUACAGAUGUGAUGACCUGUUUGUAUGAUGAAAAUCUCUGUCCUCCGAGCCAAAUUUUGAAUCUAGGAAACAGGAAAAAGUUGCUGGAGGCCAGAUCUGGUGAAUACAGUGGGUGGUCAAUCAAUUCAAACUGCAAUUUAUGAAUUUUUGCCAUGGCGACCAUCGAAGUAUGAGGCGGUGCAUUAUCUUGAUGGAACAGCACUUUCUUUUUCAUAAAAUGUGGCCGUUUUUUUCAUAAUUUCUACCUUCAGCUUAUCAAUUAAUGAUGCAUAAUACAUUCCCGUUUUUGUUUCACCUUUUUUGAGAUAGUUGAUAAAUAUAAUUCCAUGACUAUCCCAAAAAACAGUUGCCAUCACUUUCCUGGCUGAUGAAACUAUCUUCGACUUCUUUGGAACACUCUUCGCAGUCCACUGUUUUGACCGUUCCUUUAUCUCAGGAGUGAAGUGGAUCCAAAUUUCAUCAACAAUUACUACUCAUUGUAAAAAAUCUAACUCGUUUCGCUUAAACCGCUCCAACAAGGCCUUGGAAAUGGUCGUUCGAAUGCGUUUUUGGUCCACAGUAAGCAAGCGCGGCAUCCAAUGCAUGGUUAGCUUACGCAUGUUUAAUUCUUCAGUUAAUAUAUGUAGUUCAAUAAAUAUACAAACACGUUCUAUCGAUAUACCCACAGCCUCUGUUAUCUCUCUAACCUUGAUUCGUCAGUCGUCCAGUACCAUUUGAUGAAUUUUUUCAAUGUUAUCGGUGAUGGUUGCAGUUAUUGACCGUCCUGAAUCAUUAUUAGCCAAGCUGGUAACUAAAUGACAUUUAUAUUUACGUUUAUAUUCAGCUAUCCACUUUGCAUAGUAAUUAAUGAUACGUUAGAGUCUCCGUGAACAGCGUCCAACUUGGCUUUAAUUUCCGCAAGCGUAUUGCCUUUUAAACAUAAGAAUUUAGUCAUGAUGCGAUAUUUGUUUUUUUCUAUUUUUAUAAAAACACAUCGACUGACACAAAUGACAAAGCGACAUCGACUGUUAAAAAAGCGUUCCAAAUAACUAUUUUCACAGGUAUCUUUCAAAGCAGUGCUGGAAUUUACUUGCAACCAAAGGAGGGGGGAGCAAACUAAUUUUUUCCGCCUAACGCCAUCUACAAGUUUAACUAAGGCAUUAUGAAUACGUUACAUGAUAGCUUCUAAGCUAUUGGAAAUCUUGUAGCUUCGUAUUUCUGCACUUCGAAAUUUUAUCUUAAGACUAAGAGACGAAAAGAAGAAUAUAAAAAAACUGAAAUAUUAUAUAUUAA